rnacentral:siRNA from 1 species
UGGAGAGGAAUUGUAUUGUC